rnacentral:ncRNA from 1 species
UAACCAUUGUUGUAAGGCGGUGCUGAACAUACAGAAGUCAGCAAAGGUCAUAGUAGUCGAGAGAUGAAGGGC